UUGCUCACUUGGGCAGCACAUACACUAAAAUUGGAAUGAGACCGAGAGGAUUAGCAUGGCCCUGAGCAAGGAUGCCAUGCAAAUUUGCGAUGUGUUCCAUAUUUAA
rnacentral:snRNA from 1 species